rnacentral:rRNA from 1 species
UACGUAGGGGGCAAGCGUUGUCCGGAAUCAUUGGGCGUAAAGCGCGUGUAGGCGGCUCGAUAAGUCUGCUGUGAAAGUCCAGGGCUCAACCCUGGGAUGCCGGUGGAUACUGUCGAGCUCGAGUCCGGAAGAGGCGAGUGGAAUUCCUGGUGUAGCGGUGAAAUGUGUAGAUAUCGAGAGGAACACCUGCGGCGAAGGCGGGUUGCUGGGCUGACACUGACGCUGAGGCGCGAAAGCCAGGGGAGCGAACAAG